ACUUCCUCACUCUCAGUUGUCAGUUCUCACUUAUCUAGUUCUGGUGUUGUGAGUUACUCGUUUCGUUACUAGUUGUGAGUUUUGUUUAUGGUUUUGAUACCAAGACGAAGCAAAGAAGAAUUAAGGGAUUCCUGUAAAGAUCUUCUGAAGCAGGCGGUGGAGUUGAUGGGUUCAGAAAAGAAGUUGAAGGUGAAGUGGAAGAUAGUGGGCAUUGUAUUUAUUAUAUUAAUAAAUUGUCUUGAAAUGUGAA